AGUCACUGACAUUAGACUACCCCGGUAGUCCCAGCCGUAAACUAUGCGCGUUAGGUGUACUGGUGACCACGAGUCGACCGGGGUGCCGAAGGGAAACCGUGAAACGUGCCGCCUGGGAAGUACGGUCGCAAGGCUGAAACUUAAAGGAAUUGGCGGGGAGCACCACAACGGGUGGAGCCUGCGGUUUAAUUGGACUCAACGCCGGAAAUCUCACCGGAUAGGACAGACAUAUGAUAGUCGGGCUGAAGACUCUACUUGAUGAUCUG
rnacentral:rRNA from 1 species